GUCCACGCCGUAAACGAUGGGUGCUAGGUGUGGGAGGUGUCGACUCCUUCCGUGCCGCAGCUAACGCAUUAAGCACCCCGCCUGGGGAGUACGGCCGCAAGGCUAAAACUCAAAGGAAUUGACGGGGCCCCCGCACAAGCAGCGGAGCAUGUGGUUUAAUUCGAUGCAACGCGAAGAACCUUACCAGGGCUUGACAUGGUCGAGAAAACCGUAGAAAUACGGUCCUCCUUCGGGACUCGAUCACAGGUGGUGCAUGGCUGUCGU
rnacentral:rRNA from 1 species